rnacentral:tRNA from 1 species
UGAUGAGGCCGAGUGGUUAAGGCAAUGGACUGCUAGUCCGUUGUGCUCUGCACGCGUGGGUUCGAAUCCAUCGAAUCAU